rnacentral:rRNA from 1 species
GACGAACGCUGGCGGCGUGCUUAACACAUGCAAGUCGAACGAAGGGCGAUGGACGCUUGCUUCUAUCAAUCUUAGUGGCGAACGGGUGAGUAACGCGUAAUCAACCUGCCCUUCAGAGGGGGACAACAGUUGGAAACGACUGCUAAUACCGCAUACGAUCUAAUCUCGGCAUCGAGGAUAGAUGAAAGGUGGCCUCUACAUGUAAGCUAUCACUGAAGGAGGGGAUUGCGUCUGAUUAGCUAGUUGGAGGGGUAACGGCCCACCAAGGCGAUGAUCAGUAGCCGGUCUGAGAGGAUGAACGGCCACAUUGGGACUGAGACACGGCCCAGACUCCUACGGGAGGCAGCAGUGGGGAAUCUUCCGCAAUGGACGAAAGUCUGACGGAGCAACGCCGCGUGAGCGAUGACGGCCUUCGGGUUGUAAAGCUCUGUUAAUCGGGACGAAAGGCCUUCUUGCGAAUAGUGAGAAGGAUUGACGGUACCGGAAUAGAAAGCCACGGCUAACUACGUG